GCACAAGCGGUGGAGCAUGUGGUUUAAUUCGACGCGACGCGAAGAACCUUACCAGGGCUUGACAUGCACCGGAAUGUCGGGGAAACCCGGCAGCCCUUCGGGGCCGGUACACAGGUGGUGCAUGGCUGUCGUCAGCCCGUGCCGUGAGGUGUUGGGUUAAGUCCCGCAACGAGCGCAACCCCUGUCCCAUGUUGCCAGCGAUAACGUCGGGGACUCAUGGGAGACUGCCGGCGACAAGUCGGAGGAAGGUGGGGAUGAUGUCAAGUCAUCAUGCCCCUUACGCCCUGGGCUACACACGUGCUACAUUGGCCGGUACAGAGGGCUGCAAACCCGUGAGGGGGAGCGAAUCCCAAAAAGCUGGUCGUAGUCCGGAUCGCAGUCUGCAACUCGGCUGCGUGAAGUCGGAAUCGCUAGUAAUCGUGAAUCAGCGAUGUCACGGUGAAUACGUUCCCGGGC
rnacentral:rRNA from 1 species